UACAGAGGGGGCAAGCGUUGUUCGGAAUUACUGGGCGUAAAGGGCGCGUAGGCGGCCAACUAAGUCAGACGUGAAAUCCCCAGGCUCAACCUGGGAACUGCGUCUGAUACUGGAUGGCUCGAGUUCGGGAGAGGUAAGCGGAAUUCCUGGUGUAGCGGUGAAAUGCGUAGAUAUCAGGAGGAACACCUGUGGUGUAGACGGCUUACUGGACUAUAACUGACGCUGAGGAACGAAAGCGUGGGUAGCAAACAGG
rnacentral:rRNA from 1 species